CAACAGGGAUUGCCCCAGUAACGGCGAGUGAAGCGGCAACAGCUCAAAUUUGAAAUCUGGCUCUCGGGCCCGAGUUGUAAUUUGUAGAGGAUGCUUUUGGUGAGGUGCCUUCCGAGUUCCCUGGAACGGGACGCCAUAGAGGGUGAGAGCCCCGUCUGGUUGGACGCCGAACCUCUGUAAAGCUCCUUCGACGAGUCGAGUAGUUUGGGAAUGCUGCUCUAAAUGGGAGGUAUAUGUCUUCUAAAGCUAAAUACCGGCCAGAGACCGAUAGCGCACAAGUAGAGUGAUCGAAAGAUGAAAAGAACUUUGAAAAGAGAGUUAAAAAGUACGUGAAAUUGUUGAAAGGGAAGCGCUUGUGACCAGACUUGGGCUUGGUUGAUCAUCCGGGGUUCUCCCCGGUGCACUCUUCCGGCCCAGGCCAGCAUCAGUUCGCCCUGGGGGACAAAGGCUUCGGGAACGUGGCUCUCUCCGGGGAGUGUUAUAGCCCGUUGCGUAAUACCCUGUGGCGGACUGAGGUUCGCGCAUUCGCAAGGAU
rnacentral:rRNA from 1 species